AUUGAACGCUGGCGGCAGGCUUAACACAUGCAAGUCGAACGAGUGGCGGACGGGUGAGUAAUGCUUGGGAAUCUGGCUAAUGGAGGGGGAUAACUACGGGAAACUGUAGCUAAUACCGCGUACGCUUGGAUGGGCCCACGUGGGAUUAGGUAGUUGGUGAGGUAAAGGCUCACCAAGCCGACGAUCCCUAGCUGGUCUGAGAGGAUGACCAGCCACACUGGGACUGAGACACGGCCCAGACUCCUACGGGAGGCAGCAGUGGGGAAUAUUGCGCAAUGGGGGAAACCUGACGCAGCCAUGCCGCGUGAAUGAAGAAGGCCUUCGGGUUGUAAAGUUCUUUCGGUAGCGAAGCGUUAACUACAGAAGAAGCACCGGCUAACUCCGUGCCAGCAGCCGCGGUAAUAC
rnacentral:rRNA from 1 species